AAUAUUGGACAAUGGGCGCAAGCCUGAUCCAGCCAUGCCGCGUGAGUGAUGAAGGCCCUAGGGUUGUAAAGCUCUGUCAACGGUGAAGAUAAUGACGGUAACCGUAGAAGAAGCCCAGUCUAACUUCGUGCCAGAAGCCGCGGUCAUACGAAGGGGGCUAGCGUCGUGCGGAAUUACUUGGCGUAAAGCGCACGUAGGCGGAUUGGUCAGUUAGGGGUGAAAUCCCAGGGCUCAACCCUGGAACUGCCUUUAAUACUGCCGGUCUAGAGUUCGAGAGAGGUGAGUGGAAUUCCGAGUGUAGAGGUGAAAUUCGUAGAUAUUCGGAGGAACACCAGUGGCGAAGGCGGCUCACUGGCUCGAUACUGACGCUGAGGUGCGAAAGCGUGGGGAGCAAACA
rnacentral:rRNA from 1 species